rnacentral:lncRNA from 1 species
AUCUGUAUAGACCUUAUCCGAACCAUUUUAAAGGAUCCAUGAAUCUAGAUCGGGUUCUAAAAUUAGACCCAUUCCAUUUUUUGGAUUUGGACUAGAUUUACUAAAGUUUGACUCGACCCAACCCGACCUGAGUCGUGGAGAUUUUUGGGUUGAUUUGGGUCUUGAGAUAAAUAAUCCGAUCCAACCCAACCCGAUCUGAAUCCAUCC